rnacentral:rRNA from 1 species
CUGGCUCAGGAUGAACGCUGGCGGCGUGCCUAACACAUGCAAGUCGAGCGAUCUCUUCGGAGAGAGCGGCGGACGGGUGAGUAACGCGUGGGUAACCUGCCCUGUACACACGGAUAACAUACCGAAAGGUAUACUAAUACGGGAUAACAUACGAAAGUCGCAUGGCUUUUGUAUCAAAGCUCCGGCGGUACAGGAUGGACCCGCGUCUGAUUAGCUAGUUGGUAAGGUAAUGGCUUACCAAGGCAACGAUCAGUAGCCGACCUGAGAGGGUGAUCGGCCACACUGGAACUGAGACACGGUCCAGACUCCUACGGGAGGCAGCAGUGGGGAAUAUUGCACAAUGGGCGAAAGCCUGAUGCAGCAACGCCGCGUGAGCGAUGAAGGCCUUCGGGUCGUAAAGCUCUGUCCUCAAGGAAGAUAAUGACGGUACUUGAGGAGGAAGCCCCGGCUAACUACGUGCCAGCAGCCGCGGUAAU